GGAUAGCUCAGUCGGUAGAGCAUGAGACUCUUGAUCUCAGGGUGGGGGGUUCGAGCCCCAUGUUGGGCA
rnacentral:tRNA from 1 species